ACUCAUAUACCAUGGCUUUACAUGUUUUCCUAAAGUUUCAUUGUUUCCUCUUGUUACUGUGGCUGCCAUUAUCAUCUACUACAGAAACACCAAAUGUUGCUUCUGGAGUAAUAAAGCCUGGCUGCCAAGAUAAGUGCGGGAACGUCAGCAUACCCUAUCCAUUCGGUAUCGGUGACGGUUGUUUCUUAGACAAAUGGUUCGAAAUAACAUGUAAUGAAACUCUCUUCAAUACACCCAAACCAAUGUACGACAACAUUACUGUCUCAAAUCUAUCAAUACCCGAUGGCCAGAUGACUGCAGAAGUCUCCAUAGCCAGACGUUUUUCUGAUAAGAAGAUACCAGGCAAAUUAAGCAAUACUUCCUCUGCUUCUUUAGGAAAAUUCACCUUCUCUAGUACAAAAAACAAGUUCAUAGCUAUCGGCUGCGACAUCAUGGGAUUGUUAGGACUAAAUGAAGUGGAUGAUCAUACUGCAACAGGCUGUUUGUCAACCUGUAGUAGUACAACAAAUGGUAUUACUAAUGGGUCUUGCACUGGCACCGGUUGUUGUGUGGCCUCAAUCCCACCUGGGUUAAGGGCAUAUUUAGCAUCAGUUAGUUACUUAGACAAAAAUCGUACAGAUGAUUUGAGUUUCAAUCCUAUUAGUUAUGCUUUUUUAGCUGAAGAAAGUUCGUUUAACUUCUCUACGGCAUACCUCAAAAAUUUCAAGAAUAAGGGAACUGAAACUGUUCCCGUGGUAAUCGAUUGGACUAUUGGUAAUAAGAGUUGUGAUGACGCUAAAAGAAAUUUGGCAAGUUAUGCUUGUGGACCUAAUACUGAUUGCAUAUCGGGUAGUAAUAGUGUCCCAGGGUAUCGUUGUACCUGUAAAGAGGGCUAUGAAGGCAAUCCUUUUCUCGACAUUACUACUGGUGGUUGCCAAGAUAUUGAUGAAUGCAGCAAGGAUAUUAACCCAUGUAAAGGAUCUGCAAGCUUAUGCAGGAACACGGUCGGGAAUUACACGUGUGAUUGCCCACCUAAACAUCGAUCUAGAUACAAUAAUGACAUCCAGCAUUGCUUCGAGCAAAGCAACGAGGCCAAAUUUUACAAGAUUAUUAUCAGUGCCUGCCUAAGCUUCACUCUUCUGCUUGUGACUAGCUUUUGGUUGUAUUGGGGAUAUAGGAAAAGAAAACACAUGAAACUCAAGGAGGAGCUCUAUAAACGAAAUGGCGGUUUAUUCCUAAACAGACUCCUUAAAGAACGUGAAGAGGAUAUUGCAAAUAGUAUCGAUGGCAGCAGUAGAGAGCGAAAGGGGCGAUCAAUUGUCACAAUUUACUCCGAGGAGGAGUUACGCAAGGCGACUGACAACUAUCACGAAAGUCAAAUCCUUGGGCGAGGAGGCUUUGGCACAGUGUACAAAGGAACCUUACUGAACGGAGAAGUGGUUGCAAUCAAGAAGACCAAAGUAGUCGAUAGGAAACAAAAUGAGCAAUUCAUAAACGAAAUUGUCGUUCUAUCCCAAAUCAAUCACAAAAAUGUGGUUCAGCUCUUGGGUUGCUGUCUAGAGAGCGAAGUUCCUCUACUGGUUUACGAAUUUGUUACCAAUGGGACGCUUCACCAACAUUUACACGAGAGUCGGGAGAGCCAAGCUGGGUCCGAUAUUCUUUCAUGGGAGAAUCGUUUAAGGAUAGCCGCAGAAGUUUCGGGGUCGUUAGCAUACUUGCAUGCUGAAGCUUCCAUACCCAUAAUUCACAGAGAUGUCAAGUCCAGCAACGUACUCCUAGACAAGUAUUACAGAGCAAAAGUUUCGGACUUUGGUGCCUCCAGGUUGAUUCCUACCGACCAAGAUCAAUUGAGCACAGUAGUCCAAGGCACUUUUGGAUACUUAGAUCCAGAAUACAUGCAGACAGAGCAACUAACAGAAAAAAGCGAUGUGUACAGCUUCGGGGUUCUGCUUGCAGAAUUACUGACAGGUGAAGCAGUAAUCUGUUUCAAAAGACCCGUCGAGGAUAAAAAUCUGUCGAGUUAUUUCCUAUCUUCGAUCAGGAAAGGCAGGCUGUUUGCGAUUAUUGACAGUAGUUUGGUAAGGAAUGAGAGCGAGCUGAUCAGUAGUAGUGUGCAUGGGCACCAACAGAUCCAACAGAUGGGUGAACUAGCACAAAAAUGCUUAAGAGUCCAGGGAGAAAAGAGGCCUACAAUGAAAGAAGUAGCAAUGGUGCUGCAUGGAUUAAUGGGGUUGUCUUCCGAUAAACCUGAUGUCUUGGAUGAUGAGGAUAUAGGUGAUGACGAUAGCAAAAUACGUCUGCACUUGUUAGAGUCCACAGAGUUAUUAUCUUACACAGAUAGCAUGAGUACGAUGGGCGAUACCAGCAAAGGCAUAUUGCCCUUGGAAACUGAGGGGCGUUAAAUUACAUACAUAUAUCUAGAAAUAAUCAGAAGAAGUAUUUCCAUAUUUUUAGGAUAAAUUCUGCUACUGCUCAUUGUCAAGGAUUGUAUUUUAAUGUGGAAAUAGCCUUCUAUAUGUCGGACACUCUAUAGGAAGGUUAACUAGUUUCCUUGGCUGGACAAUUUUCUUACCUUUUAUCUUUGUUUUGGUUUCCAAAUUUGACGUAGUAAUUUUAACUAAGAAAUCUAUAAACUUCUCAUUAUGAAGUUC